GAUGAACGCUAGCGGGAGGCUUAAUACAUGCAAGUCGAGGGGCAGCACGGGACUUCGGUUCUGGUGGCGACCGGCGCACGGGUGAGUAACGCGUACACGACCUACCUUAUACAGAGGGAUAGCCCUGGGAAACUGGGAGUAAUACCUCAUAGUAUUAUAUGAUCAAAGUUAUAUAAUUAAAAGCUCCGGCGGUAUGAGAUGGGUGUGCGUUAGAUUAGCUAGUUGGUAAGGUAACGGCUUACCAAGGCGACGAUCUAUAGGGGGCGUGAGAGCGUGGACCCCCACACGGGUACUGAGACACGGACCCG
rnacentral:rRNA from 1 species